CAAUUUUAUUGUAUUUUAUUUUUUUAGAGACAGGGUCUUGCUGUUUCCCCCAGGCUGGAGUGCAAUGGAGUGAUCAUAGCUCACUUCAGCCUCCAACUCCUGGGCUCAAGCGAUCCUCCCACCUCAGCCUCCCCCGUAGCUGGGACUACAGGCAUAUGCCACCAUGCCCGGCUUCUCAGAGCUGCAAUUUUAAAUUGGGAGCCAGGGAAGACCUCCCUGUGGAGGUGGCAGGUUAUCAAGACUGAAGAUGUAGAGAAGAACCUUCCAGUCAAAGGGAAAAGGCAGGUCCUGCUGUGCUCAGGAAUGGCCAGAAGUACUAUCAUCCAUCCCCAUCUUAGAGAUGUGGACAGGGCCGCAACAGUGUCAGGGCGUUUCCUGGCUCCUCAACAGCAGGAUCCGAAGUCGUCUGGAGGAUGUGCCGCUCUGCUUGGGGCGGACCUCCCCUGGAGCGCACCUCCCCUGGAGCGCGCGGACGCGCAGGGUGCACACAGCCCUCUUGGACCCCGGGACCGGCUCAGGCUCAGGCUCGGCGUCAGCAAAGGGACCUGCGCGGCGCCCUGGGGCGGAGGAGGCCCGACGGUCAGUGGCCAGUGCCGUGCGGCUGACGGAGGUCGGGGCGCAACGGGACCGGGAGGAGCGCCCAGGGCGGGGGUGCCAGGCCCCCUCCAACCGCGGGCGGCCGCGGCGGAUGGGAAGCCGUGCACGACGAGCACAAUCUCCAUGGGGAGGACAACAGGAAUGUUCCUGUGAGCCCCGCCGCGCCCUACCGCCAGCGCAGCCCAGCAUCGCGGGUCCCCUCCUAUCCCACCGGAGAACGGGGUCCUCACUCCCAGCUUCAGCCGAGCCCUGGCCCCGCAACUGCCUGAAGGCACGCCCCCUGCACCUGCCCACCUCAGGUCCCGCCUCCAGCCCAGUGGCCAAGAUCGCGGGUCUCUACAAUGACUUGGAGCCACCCCGGAAGACCAUGCGCAGAGGGGUGCUGAUGACCCUGCUGCAGCAGUCGGCCAUGACCCUGCCCCUGUGGAUUGGGAAGCCUGGUGACAAGCCCCCACCCCUCUGUGGGGCCAUCCCUGCCUCAGGAGACUACGUGGCCAGACCUGGAGACAAGCCCCAGGAGGACUAUUCUAUCCUGUUUGAAGACACCUCCUAUGCAGACGGCUACUCCCCUCAUCUCAGUGUGGCCCAGAGGUACCUGGUAGCUUCUAAGGAGCCCAAGAAAAAGUGACGCUGCCCGGCGGACUCGACGUCCUCCACCAUCUUGGGGCAGGACAGCAGAGGAUGUGCUGGGAUUAAACAGACAUCCCCCCUCCACACAUCUCCUGGGUUUUACUUCUCCAAACCCUUCUCCCCUCCCCAGAUAUGGUGACCUGGGGAGCUGAAGGCUGGGGGAGAGGUGACCAUAUGUGGCCCCACCGGGCAUUCACUCUUUCAGCUCAGAGUUUCUCUUCCUUUCCAAUACAGGCUCUACAUGAACACAAA